rnacentral:rRNA from 1 species
UGGGGAAUAUUGCACAAUGGGCGCAAGCCUGAUGCAGCCAUGCCGCGUGUGUGAAGAAGGCCUUCGGGUUGUAAAGCACUUUCAGCGGGGAGGAAGGCGUUAAGGUUAAUAACCUUGGCGAUUGACGUACCCGCAGAAGAAGCACCGGCUAACUCCGUGCCAGCAGCCGCGGUAAUACGGAGGGUGCAAGCGUUAAUCGGAAUUACUGGGCGUAAAGCGCACGCAGGCGGUCUGUCAAGUCGGAUGUGAAAUCCCCGGGCUCAACCUGGGAACUGCAUUCGAAACUGGCAGGCUAGAGUCUUGUAGAGGGGGGUAGAAUUCCAGGCGUAGCGGUGAAAUGCGUAGAGAUCUGGAGGAAUACCGGUGGCGAAGGCGGCCCCCUGGACAAAGACUGACGCUCAGGUGCGAAAGCGUGGGGAGCAAACAGG